rnacentral:rRNA from 1 species
UACGGAGGGUGCAAGCGUUGUCCGGAAUCACUGGGUUUAAAGGGUGCGUAGGCGGCUUAAUAAGUCAGAGGUGAAAGGCUGUGGCUCAACGAUGGGAUUGCCUUUGAUACUGUUAGGCUUGAAUCAGGCUGAGGUUGGCAGAAUGUGGCAUGUAGCGGUGAAAUGCAUAGAUAUGGCAUAGAAUACCGAUUGCGAAGGCAGCUGACUGGAAUUAGAUUGACGCUGAGGCACGAAAGCGUGGGGAGCGAACAGG